CAGGGCACAGCUCGCUGCCAGGGCACAGCUUGCCUCCAGGGCACAGCUCGCUGCCGGGGCACGGACAGCUCCACACCUCGCUGUGCUGGAAACUGGAAAUCUUCCAAGUCCUUCCGCGCUACCUGCAGUCAGGAGUCCAUGUCCCCCAUUGUGACACUCCCCAGAAGCUGAAGGGCUGCUGGCCCAGCCAAAGCCUGCAAGGUCUGACCAGCACAGGGAUGUACAAGAAGCUCCACAGCUCACAGCACCAACCCUGCUGUAGAAACCAUCACUGAAUAAAAGGAAUUUUCAAAACCGUUA